UACGUAGGGGGCUAGCGUUGUCCGGAUUUAUUGGGCGUAAAGAGCGUGUAGGCGGCCAGGUAGGUCUGCUGUGAAAACUCGAGGCUCAACCUCGAGACGUCGGCGGAAACCAUCUGGCUAGAGUCCGGAAGAGGAGAGUGGAAUUCCUGGUGUAGCGGUGAAAUGCGCAGAUAUCAGGAAGAACACCCGUGGCGAAGGCGGCUCUCUGGUCCGGUACUGACGCUGAGACGCGAAAGCGUGGGGAGCGAACAGG
rnacentral:rRNA from 1 species